ACAUAAACAAUAUUCAACAUUCAAGAAAAGUAACAUUCAACAAAUUAACAUUCAACAAAAACUAACAUUCAAAAAAACUAACAUUCGACAAAAAUAAAAUGAAAGACCUAUUUCGAUGGAGGAGUUUGAAAUCUUUGAUCACUCUGAGCAGCAUUAAUACUUCUAUCUUGCAACGAUCCACGAUCUGAAGGUUGUGGAGUUGUAUUUGAUUGAGAUAGAACUGUUUUCUUCAGGUCUUCAAACAUAUCAAACAUUUCAUCGUAUUUCCUUU
rnacentral:lncRNA from 1 species